rnacentral:rRNA from 1 species
UGGGGAAUAUUGUGCAAUGAGCGAAAGCUUGACACAGCGACACCGCGUGUGGGAUGACGGUUCUAGGAUUGUAAACCACUUUCAGGAGGGAAGAAAAUGACGGUACCUCCACAAGAAGCCCCGGCCAACUACGUGCCAGCAGCCGCGGUAAUACGUAGGGGGCGAGCGUUGUCCGGAUUUAUUGGGCGUAAAGAGCUCGUAGGCGGUUCAACAAGUCGGUCGUGAAAGUUUAGGGCUUAACCCUGAAAUGUCGAUCGAUACUGUUGUGACUAGGAUAUGGUAGAGGUGAAUGGAAUUCCGAGUGUAGCGGUGAAAUGCGUAGAUAUUCGGAGGAACACCAAUUGCGAAGGCAGUUCACUGGACCACUAUCGACGCUGAGGAGCGAAAGCUAGGGGAGCAAACAGG